rnacentral:rRNA from 1 species
UAAUGGUAUGGGGAUCUGCCCGAUAGAGGGGGAUAACUACUGGAAACGGUGGCUAAUACCGCAUAAUGUCUACGGACCAAAGCAGGGGCUCUUCGGACCUUGCACUAUCGGAUGAACCCAUAUGGGAUUAGCUAGUAGGUGGGGUAAAGGCUCACCUAGGCGACGAUCUCUAGCUGGUCUGAGAGGAUGAUCAGCCACACUGGGACUGAGACACGGCCCAG